rnacentral:rRNA from 1 species
CCGGAAUUAUUGGGCGUAAAGGGUGCGUAGGCGGCCUUUUAAGUUCAUGGUGAAAGCGUGGGGCUUAACCCCAUACAUGCAUGGAUACUGGAAGGCUAUAGUACUGGAGAGGAAAGUGGAAUUCCAUGUGGAACGGUAAAAUGGGUAAAUAUAUGGAGGAACACCAGUGGCGAAGGGGACUUUCUAGCCAGAAACUGACGCUGAUGCACGAAAGCGUGGGGAGCAAAUAGGAUUAAAUACCCUAGUAGUCCACGCUGUAAACGAUGAAUACUAAGUGUUGGGGGAACUCAGUGCUGCAGUUAACGCAAUAAGUAUUCCGCCUGUGGAGUAUGCACGCAAGUGUGAAACAUAAAGGAAUUGACGGGGGCCCGCACAAGCGGUGGAGUAUGUGGUUUAAUUCGACGCAACGCGAAGAACCUUACCAGGCCUUGACAUCCCUUGCAAAACUGUAUAGAUACAGCAGAGGUUAUCAAGGUGACAGGUGGUGCAUGGUUGUCGUCAGCUCGUGUCGUGAGAUGUUGGGGUUAAGUCCCGCAACGAGCGCAACCCUUGUCUUCACUUACCAGCAUUCACUUGGGGACUCUGGAGAGACUGCCGGUGAUAAACCGGAGGAAGGUGGGGGAUGACGUCAAAUCAUCAUGCCCCUUAUGGGCUGGGCUACACACGGACUACAAUGGCUGUCACAACGAGACGCAACAAACGCGAGUUGAAGCAAAUCUCUUAAAAGCAGUCUCAAUUCGGAUUGAAGUCUGCAACUCGACUUCAUGAAGCUGGAAUCACUAGUAAUUCGCGGAUCAGC